GAUGAAGAACGUAGUGAAAUGCGAUAAGUAAUGUGAAUUGCAGAAUUCAGUGAAUCAUCGAAUCUUUGAACGCACCUUGCGCCCUUUGGACAUUCCGAAGGGCAUGCCUGUUUGAGUAUCAUGAACACCUCAACUCUCACGGCUUGUCCGUGAUGAGCUUGGACUUUGGGGGUCUUGCCGGCCUGUGGUCGGCUCCUCUCAAAUGGAUCAGCUUGCCAGUGUUUGGUGGCAUCACAGGUGUGAUAACUAUCUGCGCUUGUGGUUUUCCAUCAGAUAACCUUCAGUGAUAUGGAGGUUCGCUGGAGCUCACAAAUGUCUCUCCUUAGUGAGGACAGCUCUUUGAACGUUUGAUCUCAAAUCAGGUAGGACUACCCGUUGAACUUAAGCAUAUCAAUAAGCGGAGGA
rnacentral:misc_RNA from 1 species